CUCGUACUUCAACUAUCUGAAAAUUGGCCUCAAACAAAGGCCUUCAAGCAGCUCACAGAAAAAAGUAGUCAUGUUGUUUUGUCUCAUCUCCUGCACACAUGUCUCAAACGUUCAUGCACUGGACAUUACAGCACGUUCCUUUACUCCAGAUGGUGUUUCCUUUGUCAUUUCAAGACAUACGAAAACAUCCAUUAGCUCGGUCUUUUAUACAGCUCUUGCACAUAAU